CUACGGGUUGCUGCAGUGAGGAAUAUUGCACAAUGGGGGAAACCCUGAUGCAGCAACGCCGCGUGGAGGAUGACGCAUUUCGGUGUGUAAACUCCUUUUAUCAGAGAAGAAAAUGACGGUAUCUGAUGAAUAAGCUCCGGCUAACUCCGUGCCAGCAGCCGCGGUAAUAGCGGAGGGAGCAAGCGUUAUUCGGAAUCACUGGGCGUAAAGGACGCGUAGGCGGGUUUUUAAGUCAGGUGUGAAAUCCUAUGGCUCAACCAUAGAACUGCACUUGAAACUGGGGACCUAGAGUAUGGAAGGGGCAGGUGGAAUUAGUGGUGUACGGGUAAAAUCCGUAGAUAUCACUAGGAAUACCGAAAGCGAAGGCGACCUGCUGGGACAUUACUGACGCUGAGGCGUGAAAGCGUGGGGAGCAAACAGGAUUAGAUACCCCUGUAGUC
rnacentral:rRNA from 1 species